GACUUAAGAAAGAACAAUUUCACAGGGAGUCUUCCUCCAUUAUGUGCACACAGCACUUCAUUGAGUACCAUUGUCGUAAAUGGUAAUCUAUUUGAAGGACCUGUUCCUGUGUCAUUGCUCAAGUGUAAUGGUCUACAAGUCCUUGAUGUGGGGAACAAUGCUAUAAAUGACACGUUUCCAGCUUGGCUCGGAAUUCUUCAAGAGCUGCAGUGGCUCACUUCCUGCAAAUGUUUUUGGAAACUUCAAGGCAAUGAUCAAAUUAGAUGGCGAAGACACAGGAAAUAUCAAGUACAUGGAAUCUAUGUUGUAUUCGCCAUUGGUCACAUCGUAUGAGGAUUCAGUGAGUUUGGUAAUCAAAGGGCAGGAUAUUGAGCUACAAAGAAUCAGCACAAUUAUGACAACCAUAGAUCUCUCACGCAAC